ACAGUUGAGGAGCUUGGGGUCAUCAGGGCAUUUUCGGAAGACCGUAAAUGUUUUGGCCUAAGGCACGUGCUAAACCCUACCUUAAUUUUGACACGUUCCCUUACACCUCUCAAAUGAACAUCUGUACUGCUUCCUCCGGCUUUGCACAGCCUCACUAUUCAUUUUCCCAGCUGCUCAACUCCUUUUACAAUUUCCUUUAUCUCUCUUCCUGCACAGUUUAUUUGCAUUCAUUGUACAGUUACAAGGAGUUGAUGAUAACAAGGCCAAACGAUAUGAAAUGUAUCACGAUAUGGACACGGUAGAAAAGAACGCACUUCUGUUGAAACAUCGCCUAAAAAAAGGCACAACUAAUCGUCUUCUUGCAAUUCCAAAUUCUGUCAAUCCUGUUGAAUCAACAUUUGUAAUUCAGAGUAAUCUUGUUGUUGAUGGUUUUAUUAUGCAUAUGUGCUACCUUCUACUUUCGCCAAUUCGGAUGAUUUGUAUUACAGACAUGUGCUAAGACUUAUUCUACUUUUGCAUUUUUCA